CUCACGGCCUAUCAGCUUGUUGGUGGGGUAAUGGCCUACCAAGGCGACGACGGGUAGCCGGCCUGAGAGGGUGACCGGCCACACUGGGACUGAGACACGGCCCAGACUCCUACGGGAGGCAGCAGUGGGGAAUAUUGCACAAUGGGCGCAAGCCUGAUGCAGCGACGCCGCGUGAGGGAUGACGGCCUUCGGGUUGUAAACCUCUUUCAGCACGGAAGAAGCGAAAGUGACGGUACGUGCAGAAGAAGCGCCGGCUAACUACGUGCCAGCAGCCGCGGUAAUACGUAGGGCGCAAGCGUUGUCCGGAAUUAUUGGGCGUAAAGAGCUCGUAGGCGGUUUGUCGCGUCUGCUGUGAAAGCCCGGGGCUUAACCCCGGGUGUGCAGUGGGUACGGGCAGACUUGAGUGCAGUAGGGGAGACUGGAACUCCUGGUGUAGCGGUGAAAUGCGCAGAUAUCAGGAAGAACACCGAUGGCGAAGGCAGGUCUCUGGGCUGUUACUGACGCUGAGGAGCGAAAGCAUGGGGAGCGAACAGGAUUAGAUACCCUGGUAGUCCAUGCCGUAAACGUUGGGCACUAGGUGUGGGGAACAUUCCACGUUUUCCGCGCCGUAGCUAACGCA
rnacentral:rRNA from 1 species